CUCUCCCAGUUUGGGGUUACUGCCCACUAACCCUAACCCACUCAUUCUGAUUCUGCUGGGCUGAAACCAGAACCAUAUUCCAACCAAAACCAGAUGGAUUUGAUCUCCAGCUGGCUGUCAGCGAUCCUGCAGCAAAUCGGUGGCCGCA